UGAGGAAUAUUGGUCAAUGGGCGAAAGCCUGAACCAGCCAUGCCGCGUGAAGGAAUAAGGCCCUAUGGGUCGUAAACUUCUUUUGUAUCGGAGCAAUAAGGGUCACGAGUGAUCCGAUGAGAUUACGAUACGAAUAAGCAUCGGCUAACUCCGUGCCAGCAGCCGCGGUAAUACGGAAGGUCCGGGCGUUAUCCGGAUUUAUUGGGUUUAAAGGGAGCGUAGGCCGUCGUUUAAGCGUGUUGUGAAAUGCCGCGGCUCAACCGUGGCACUGCAGCGCGAACUGGAUGACUUGAGUUCGCGGGAGGUAGGCGGAAUUCGUGGUGUAGCGGUGAAAUGCUUAGAUAUCACGAAGAACUCCGAUUGCGAAGGCAGCUUACCGUAGCGUUACUGACGCUGAAGCUCGAAAGUGCGGG
rnacentral:rRNA from 1 species